AGCAUACCCAGCAAUGGGUGAUGGCGACCGGCGGAAGGGUGCGUAACGCGUGACAACAUACCCUAUACAGGGGGAUAAGCCAGGGAAACUUGGUCUAAUAUCCCAUAGGAAAUAGAUAAGGCAUCUUAUUUAUUUUAAAGCUUCGGUGGUAUAGGAUUGGCUCGCGUGACAUUAGCUAGAUGGAGGGGUAACGGCCCACCAUGGCAAUGAUGUCUAGGGGUUCUGAGAGGAAGGUCCCCCACAUUGGAACUGAGACACGGUCCAAACUCCUACGGGAGGCAGCAGUGAGGAAUAUUGGUCAAUGGGCGGAAGCCGUGAACCAGCCAUGCCGCGUGAAGGAAGGAGGCCCUAUGGGUCGUGAACUUCUUUUGCCUGGGAGCAAUAAGGUGGGUUCGUCCCGCCGAUGAGAGUACCAGGCGAAUAAGCAUCGGCUAACUCCGUGCCAGCAGCCGCGGUAAUAAGGAGGAUGCGAGCGUUAUCCGGAUUUAUUGGGUUUAAAGGGUGCGUAGGCGGUGCGGGAAGUCGGUGGUGAAACCCCGGGGCUCAACCCCAGGCAUGCCGUCGAGACUCCCGUGCUUGAAUUCGGAUGCCGUGGGAGGAAUGAGUGGUGUAGCGGUGAAAUGCAUAGAUAUCACUCAGAACACCGAUUGCGAAGGCAUCUCACGAAUCCGAGAUUGACGCUGAGGCACGAAAGUGCGGGGAUCAAACAGGAUUAGAUACCCUGGUAGUCCGCACAGUAAACGAUGAUGACUAACCGUCGGCGAUACACAGUCCGGUGGCCAAGCGAAAGCGAUAAGUCAUCCACCUGGGGAGUACGACCGCAAGGUUGAAACUCAAAGGAAUUGACGGGGGCCGCACAAGCGGAGGAACAUGUGGUUUAAUUCGAUGAUACGCGAGGAACCUUACCCGGGCUCGAACGGCAGCUGGAGUGGGCAGAGAUGUCCGCGCUUCGGGGCGGCUGUCGAGGUGCUGCAUGGUUGUCGUCAGCUCGUGCCGUGAGGUGUCGGCUCAAGUGCCAUAACGAGCGCAACCCUUGCCGUCAGUUACCAUCGCGCAAAGGCGGGGACUCUGGCGGGACUGCCACCGCAAGGUGAGAGGAAGGGGGGGAUGACGUCAAAUCAGCACGGCCCUUACGUCCGGGGCAACACACGUGUUACAAUGGCGGCCACAGAGGGGCACGACCACGCGAGUGGAAGGGAAUCUCAAAAAGCCGUCCCAGUUCGGACUGGAGUCUGCAACCCGACUCCACGAAGUUGGAUUCGCUAGUAAUCGCGCAUCAGCCAUGGCGCGGUGAAUACGUUCCCGGGCC
rnacentral:rRNA from 1 species